AGAACGAACGCUGGCGGCGUGGAUAAGACAUGCAAGUCGAACGGGACAUAUUUGGUAGCAAUAUUGAGUAUGUUCAGUGGCGUAAGGGUGCGUAACACGUGGGUAAUUUGCCGUGAAGACUGGGAUAACUUGCUGAAAGGCGAGCUAAUACCGGAUGUGGUCACGAGAAGGCAUCUCUUGGGACUGAAGUUGGGGACCGCAAGGCCUAACACUUUACGAUAAGCCCGCGGCCUAUCAGACUAGUUGGUGAGGUAAACGGCUCACCAAGGCGUAAGACGGGUAGCGUGGUCUGAGAGGACGACCAGCCGACACUGGAACUGAGACACGUCCAGACACCUACGGGUGGCAGCAGUCGAGAAUUUUCA
rnacentral:rRNA from 1 species